AGUCACUGACAUUAGAUACCCGCGUAGUCCAGGGUGUAAACGCUGCAGACUUGGUGUUGGAGGCCCUUUGGGGGCAUUCAGUGCCGGAGAGAAGUUGUUAAGUCUGCUACUUGGGAGUACGUCCGCAAGGAUGAAACUUAAAGGAAUUGGCGGGGGAGCACCGCAACGGGAGGAGCGUGCGGUUUAAUUGGAUUCAACACCGUAAAACUCACCAGGGAAGACUGUUACAUGAAGGCCGAGAUGAAGACUCUGCUAGAUUUUCAG
rnacentral:rRNA from 1 species